GAUGAACGCUGGCGGCGUGCCUAAUACAUGCAAGUCGAGCGAACGGACGAGAAGCUUGCUUCUCUGAUGUUAGCGGCGGACGGGUGAGUAACACGUGGAUACCCUCCCUAUAAUACUGGGAUAACUUCGGGAAACCGGAGCUAAUACCGGAUAAUAUUUUGAACCACAUGGUUCAAAAGUGAAAGACGGUCUUGCUGUCACUUAUAGAUGGAUCCGCGCUGCAUGAGCUAGUUGGUAAGGUAACGGCUUACCAAGGCAACGAUGCGUAGCCGACCUGAGAGGGUGAUCGGCCACACUGGAUCUGAGACACGGUCCAGACUCCUACGGGAGGAAGCAGUAGGGAAUCUUCCGCAAUGGGCGAAAGCCUGACGGAGCAACGCCGCGUGAGUGAUGAAGGUCUUCGGAUCGUAAAACUCUGUUAUUAGGGAAGAACAUAUGUGUAAGUAACUGUGCACAGCUUGACGGUACCUAAUCAGAAAGCCACGGCUAACUACGUG
rnacentral:rRNA from 1 species